CACGAAUUGCAGACGCUUAGAGUGGUGAAAUUUUGAACGCAUAGCGCCGUUGGGUUUUCCCUUCGGCACGUCUGGUUCAGGGUUGUUUAUAUGUUUACUACAGUGUGGCUUGUAACACUGUUUGUCGAACGAUGCUUGCACGUGCGUGUGUGUGUGAUCCUCGUUCUAGAUGAGAAAUAUAUUGCAACAGGUAUUUUGGAGCAAUCCAAAAUACACGGAUGUCAUGUGAUGUAUGCAUGCAUGUAUUUGCGUGUAGGUUGUCACUGUCAAAGUGUUCAGCGAAUAAGAAUGCUUGACGGGGCCUGUGAAAUGAGACAACCGUAGUCGCAUGUCAUUUGCAAUGCAACCUGAGCUCAGUCGUGAUUACCCGCUGAACUUAAGCAUAUCAUUUAGC
rnacentral:rRNA from 1 species